rnacentral:rRNA from 1 species
ACGCUCGACACCUACGGGGGGCAGCAGUGGGGAAUAUUGCACAAUGGGGGAAACCCUGAUGCAGCGACGCCGCGUGGAGGAAGAAGGUCUUCGGAUUGUAAACUCCUGUUGUUGGGGAAAAAGAGGAUGGUACCCAACAAGGAAGUGACGGCUAACUACGUGCCAACAGCCGCGGUAAUCUGAGCGGGCGUGGCAAGGC